rnacentral:rRNA from 1 species
CGUUGGACAUCAGGAGAUGGAUCGUGGACAACCUAGAGUUGCUACUACGGUUUCACUCCUUUUUUAUGCCAGUUCAUCGAUGAUGUACUUGAAUGUGUGUCACGGUAGAAGGUCAAUGUCACUUUGAGAAAAUUAGUGUGCUCAACGCAGGCUUUACGCUUGUAUAAUGCUGCAUGGGAUGACGGAAUAGGGCCUCGGUUCCGUUUCGUUGGUUUACGAAAGCAGAGGUCAUGAUUAAUCGGGACAGACGGGGGCAUUCGUAUUGCGAUGCUAGAAGUGAAAUUCUGUGACCAUCGCAAGACGGACAACUGCGAAAGCAUUUGCCAAGAAUGUUUUCAUUAAUCAAGAACGAAAGUUAGAGGAUCGAAGACGAUUAGAUACCGUCCUAGUUCUAACUGUAAACUAUGCCGACCGGGGAUUCGCCAAUGCAAUAUUGCUUGGCGAGCACCCUCCGGGAAACCAAAGUGAUUGGGUUCCGGGGGGAGUAUGGUUGCAAAAUCGAAACUUAAAGGAAUUGACGGAGGGGCACACCAGAAGUGGAGCCUGCGGCUCAAUUUGACUCAACGCACGAAAGCUUACUCGGUCCGAACACCGUGAGGAUUGACAGGUUGAAAGCUCUUUCUUGAUCCGGUGGGUAGCGGUGCAUGGCCGUUCGUAGUUGGUGAAGUGAUUUGUCUGGUUUAUUCCGAUAACGAACGAGACUCUAGCCUACUAAUUAGCGUGAUGAUUGAUCGUCAUUACAAAUGCUUCUUAGAGGGACAGGUGUUGCUUAAACACACGAAGUAGGAGCAAUAACAGGUCUGUGAUGCCCUUCGAUGUUCGAGGCUGCACGCGCGCUACAAUGGAGGGCGCAAAGCGCACUACGCAUUUUGAAAAGGAUGCGGAAUCGUAAAUAGCCUUCAUGACUGGGAUCGGAGAUUGAAAUUAUUCUUCGUGAACGAGGAAUUCCUAGUAAGCGCGAAUCAUUACCUCGCGUUGAUUAAGUCCCUGCCCUUU